UGUAAGUACCCGCUAUUAAUUUAACGAUGUUCUCGUUACCAUGUUUAGCUCCCCAAUGUAAAGCUGUAUAGCCCUGCAGAUGGUUCGCAGCAGUGUUCCACACGAAGAUUAUUCGUCAAUCCCAAGAUGUGUACAUGUAACAUACAAAAAUAUGUACCGUUAAUGGUACCGAUCGAAGAAGUUUUGCCACGCAAUGUUUUUUCGAAUUAUAAAUUAUUGCUACAUGCAGUUUAAGGUUCUGUUUUGCCCUCGUGCGGCAUACUUUUUAACGAUUAGCAAUGUAAACUACAUGCAUGCUGAUAUGCGCAAAACUUCUCGCCGUUCGUGAAUGCACCCUGCGAGCUCUCGUGCCUACGAAGGAACCGGCGCUCCGCAAUUAAUUGCCGACCAUCGGGGCACGGCUUUUCUCUCCCGGCUCGAACCCAUUACUUUGUAGCAUUUGGCUGGUAACUUAAUG